AACGAACGCUGGCGGCAUGCCUAACACAUGCAAGUCGAACGAGACCUUCGGGUCUAGUGGCGCACGGGUGCGUAACGCGUGGGAACCUGCCCUUAGGUUCGGAAUAACUCCCCGAAAGGGGUGCUAAUACCGGAUAAUGUCUUCGGACCAAAGAUUUAUCGCCUUUGGAUGGGCCCGCGUUGGAUUAGCUAGUUGGUAGGGUAAAAGCCUACCAAGGCGACGAUCCAUAGCUGGUAUGAGAGGAUGAUCAGCCACACUGGGACUGAGACACGGCCCAGACUCCUACGGGAGGCAGCAGUGGGGAAUAUUGGACAAUGGGCGAAAGCCUGAUCCAGCAAGGCCGCGUGAGUGAUGAAGGCCUUAGGGUUGUAAAGCUCUUUUACCCGGGAUGAUAAUGACAGUACCGGGAGAAUAAGCUCCGGCUAACUCCGUG
rnacentral:rRNA from 1 species